ACUCGAUUUGCUCUCCUAACCUAGACUCAAAGCGUUCCCCACCACACAACGCCCUCACACUUGAAUUUUAAAUUUAAACAAUCGUUUGGAAAUCACAUUGUCGGUUGGUUCUCCCACAAAAUGUGAAAAAGAUUAGUCCUGACAGAGGCACAUUGGUUCCGAAGUUUUUACUUGGAUAAAGAAUGAAGGAUUUGGCACUAUUUUAAAGGGUCUCCCAAAUUUAACGCACGUUUGGAAUUAAAGAGAAGGCACAGGUUUUAGUCUUUCGAUCUAAUGAUAUAUUUUAUUCAUAUGCAGGUUUUUUCAAAGCAGUUCGAACCCACGUGACAAUCAGAGUUUAAUAGUAAAAAAGUUGACUCCGUCAAAGUCAGCUAGAGGAAGAUCCCAGAAGAGAUUCAAGCAUAAAACAGGUAAUGAAGUCUUCAGUUUGAGUGAGACUGAAAAUUUUAUACUUUUGCAAUUUGCAAAGAUCAGAGACAAGGAAAUACUUUCAGGAGUUACCAAAUCGUUGUAUUCAAAAUGUUGCGAAAGACCUAAAAAUGCAUUAUUCGAUGAAAUCUUGAAUGAACUACAAACAUAUUUGAUAUCUUAUUAACUUUUACAGAUUUUUUUUUGACAGAUCACGCGUGUCAAACCGUCAUUAUAUUCUACAAGAUAUAAGAGAUAUAUGACGGCAUUGACAUAGUUCAGCGAAUUAAAAGACAGCGGCUACGCUGGCUAGGUCAUGUUGUCCGGAUGGACGAAAACACUCCAGCUCUGAAAGUAUUCGACGCAGUACCCGCCGGAGGAAGCAGAGGAAGAGGCAGGCCUCCACACCGUUGGAAGCACCAAGUGGACAAGGACCUGGCCUCGCUUGGAAUUUCCAAUUGGCGACACGUAGCGAAAAGAAGAAACGACUGGCCCGCGUUUGUUAACUCGGCUAUAAUCGCGUAAGCGGUGUCUACGCCAAUUAAAAAGAAGAAGAAGAUUCCAUGUUUUUGAGCCAAAUUUUGUUCAGCAAUGAGGCCACUUUCUGGCACAAUGG